UGAGGAAUAUUGGUCAAUGGACGCAAGUCUGAACCAGCCAAGUAGCGUGCAGGAUGACGGCCCUAUGGGUUGUAAACUGCUUUUAUAUGGGGAUAAAGUGGGGAACGUGUUCCCUUUUGCAGGUACCAUAUGAAUAAGGACCGGCUAAUUCCGUGCCAGCAGCCGCGGUAAUACGGAAGGUUCGGGCGUUAUCCGGAUUUAUUGGGUUUAAAGGGAGCGUAGGCCGUUUGGUAAGCGUGUUGUGAAAUGUAGGAGCUCAACUUCUAGAUUGCAGCGCGAACUGUCAGACUUGAGUGCGCACAACGUAGGCGGAAUUCAUGGUGUAGCAGUGAAAUGCUUAGAUAUCAUGAAGAACUCCGAUUGCGAAGGCAGCUUACGGGAGCGCAACUGACGCUGAAGCUCGAAGGUGCGGGUAUCGAACAGG
rnacentral:rRNA from 1 species